rnacentral:rRNA from 1 species
CCUACGGGAGGCAGCAGUGGGGAAUAUUGCACAAUGGGGGAAACCCUGAUGCAGCGACGCCGCGUGAGUGAAGAAGUAAUUCGUUAUGUAAAGCUCUAUCAGCAGGGGAGAAAAUGACGGUACCUGAGUAAGAAUCCGCGGCUAACUACGUCCCAGCAGCCGCGGUACUACGUAGGGGGCAAGCGUUAUCCGGAUUUACUGGGUGUAAAGGGGGCGUAGACGGGAGGGCAAGUCUGGAGUGAAAGGCGGGGGCUCAACCCCCGGACCGCUCUGGAAACUGGAAGGCUGGAGUGCAGGAGAGGUAAGCGGAAUUCGUGGUGUAGCGGUGAAAUGCGUAGAUAUUAGGAGGAACACCAGUGGCGAAGGCGGCUUACUGGACUGUAACUGACGUUGAGGCUCGAAAGCGUGGGGAGCAAACAGGAUUAGAUACCCUUGUAGUC